rnacentral:tRNA from 1 species
AAACCCUUAAGUUAAAUAAACUAUUAACCUUCAAAGUUAAAAAUAUAAAUAUAAUUUUAUAGGUUUUA